rnacentral:misc_RNA from 1 species
GAAAAGGAUUUGAGCAACUCUCCCCAUAAAAUUCAUGAUCAAUCAACUUUAUACCAGCCAUCCCUUCAAUGAUCAGGGUUUUUAGAGAAGGUAGUUGCCCAAGCUGUGGCAAGGAUGUGCAUUUCUUACAGUUCUCGAACCUUAAGAACACAAGAUUACAGAAUGAGAUAUUUCCUACCCAAGAGGGAAAUCUGGCACCACAAUAGCCUUUUACAUAUAGCUUUUUCAAUUGUGUAUGAGGUUGAAGGCUGCCAAGUACAUCUCUAUCAAGUCUCUCAUUCCGUGCACUAUCAUAUGUCCAUUCAAGAAAUAGAUCAUCUAAGUCUUUCUUAUCUGUUAAGUUGGCCUGCCUUGCAUCCUGAGCAUUAAUCACAUUCUCCAACUUGGAAAUGUGGAGGGCUUUCUGAAGGAAUUUUAAGUCCAUCAAAGCUGAUAGACAGGCUGCACCAUUUUUUCCCACCACAAAAUCAGACAAUGUUCGAAGACUUUUUAAUGCUUUUAUUCCUAUUGGCAUCCCUUCUACUAAAUGUGCACCCGUGAUGUCAAGAAAGCGCAAACUGAUCAGAUUUCCUAUUUCUGAAGGCAAUUCCUCAAGCCGUGAGCAUCCUUUCAACAUGAUAGUUUGUAAGCUAUACAAUGAAGUUACUGACUUGGGUAAAAUUCUGAUUUGAGUAUGUGAAAGGUCUAGGUACCUUAAAAGUUUUAAGUUACCAAUUGAAUCUGGUAGCUCGCCAAUGCUAUAAUGACUAAAAGACAAUACUCUUAAACAUCUCAGCUUUGGUAACAAUUCAGAAGGAACAUAAUUUGGUAAGAAGCUUUCUGGGAAAUUACUUAGUCUUAGAGAGAGAGACAGAAAGGUCCGUAAAUAUUGCAUCCUGUGGAAAGGUUCAAAUCUCGUAAUGCCAUUACAAUAGCCACGAAUGUAAGAUGAGUGUCGAGCUCUUUCUCCUUUGGAUGGUUCACCAACCCUACAUUCAUCGUCCAAUCUUAAACAUAUUUCUCCUGCAACCCUUUGUGCUAGAUCAUUAACAAGGUCAUGCAUUACAAAUUUAGAUUCACCACUGCCUGAUGCUUGAAAAAGAGAUCUAGAUAAUAAAUCACGGAAAUACUCAACUCCAACAACUUCCAUCUGCUUUUGGCCAUCCAUUUGUUGAAUCAAACCUUCUGCCAUCCA